GACGAACGCUGGCGGCGUGCUUAACACAUGCAAGUCGAACGGAAAGGCCCUGCUUUUGUGGGGUGCUCGAGUGGCGAACGGGUGAGUAACACGUGAGUAACCUGCCCUUGACUUUGGGAUAACUUCAGGAAACUGGGGCUAAUACCGGAUAGGAGCUCCUGCUGCAUGGUGGGGGUUGGAAAGUUUCGGCGGUUGGGGAUGGACUCGCGGCUUAUCAGCUUGUUGGAGGGGUAGUGGCUUACCAAGGCUUUGACGGGUAGCCGGCCUGAGAGGGUGACCGGCCACAUUGGGACUGAGAUACGGCCCAGACUCCUACGGGAGGCAGCAGUGGGGAAUAUUGCACAAUGGGCGGAAGCCUGAUGCAGCAACGCCGCGUGCGGGAUGACGGCCUUCGGGUUGUAAACCGCUUUCGACUGUGACGAAGCGUGAGUGACGGUAAUGGGUAAAGAAGCACCGGCUAACUACGUG
rnacentral:rRNA from 1 species